rnacentral:pre_miRNA from 14 species
UUCCUGCCUUGUCUUGAAAGAUCCCCGAAGAGAGACCCUUACUCAAGUCUCGGGAAGUUGCAGACCCCAGACACAGAGAGACCA